CGGCACUCCAGAUGUUUUGGACUACACCUCCCAUGAUGAUAUGCCAGCAAUAUGGGGGAUGUAGUCCACAACAUCUGCAGUGCCG